UCUCGUUCUUCCUGUGAGUUUUCCUUUUUCUACUACCACCACCAUCGUUAUCAUUAAGAUUAACCCUUAUUGCCGUUGUCGAGGAAGAAAGGUAUCGUCAUUACCAGCACAUGAACUAUUUUUCACCAUUUUUGUUUCACUUCUACGAAGUAAACCCUAGAUUCAGAAAUUCUUCUUCUCCUUUUGAUUUUUUCCCUCAAAAUCUUUAACCUGAUUUCUGAUCUUAGUUCAGAUUCAUGCUCACCAUGUCAUUAUCUGGAUAAAUCUUAUUAUAAAUUAUUUGCAAAUUACAAUUUUUUGACCUAAAGAGGGAAAUCAGAGUUAAUCUGAUUGCAAGUGUUUCUAUGUUCUAUGAGUGUUUUUUGGCACGAGAUUUCCCCCGAAACCCCUUCUCUUUUUUCAUGAGAUUUCUUUAUAAACCCAUUUGGAGAAUCGUUAACGCUUUCCUCAAAUUUAAGUAAUUUGUUUUUCUUUCCCUUAAAAUGUCAGAUGUAGAACAAAGGUUGGUUCAGAACCAGGAUGAGAUGAUCAUGUUAGCUAGGCAGGCUAUCUGAACCCUACAAGGUAAUUGGAGAGUGUUUUGGACGAAUAAUCAAGGAAAAAGGAUUUGGGGUCAUUGUGGAAAGGAAACACAAGCAAUGUCAUGCAUUACUUCCCUACUCAGUUUGGACCAUAUAUGGGCUCAUUUGUUCUUUAAUUACUUCCCUACUCAGUUUAGGUGAUCUACAUCUUUAUACGCACCGCAGAACACUUGGCUUAAUUUAACUUCGCUAAAUCAUGAAUGUGAUACAUAUAUAUUAAUACUUCGAGUU